AGUCAUUGUAGCAAUACAAGGCAGACGGCUCAGUAACGCGUAGUCAAUCUACCCUAUGGACGGGAAUAACCUCGGGAAACUGAGAAUAAUGCCCGAUAGAACAUUAUGCCUGGAAUGGUUUAUGUUUCAAAUGAUUUAUCGCCAUAGGAUGGGACUGCGGCCUAUCAGUUUGUUGGUGAGGUAAUGGCCCACCAAGACUAUUACAGGUACGGGCUCUGAGAGGAGUGGCCCGGAGAUGGGUACUGAGACACGGACCCAGGCCCUAUGGGGCGCAGCAGGCGAGAAAACUUUGCAAUGUGCGAAAGCACGACAAGGUUAAUCCGAGUGGUUUCUGCUAAAGAAACCUUUUGUCAGUCCUAGAAACACUAACGAAUAAGGGGUGGGCAAGUUCUGGUGUCAGCCGCCGCGGUAAAACCAGCACCUCAAGUGGUCAGGAUGAUUAUUGGGCCUAAAGCAUCCGUAGCUCGUUUUGUAAGUUUUCGGUUAAAUCCAUACGCUUAACGUAUGGGCUGCCGGGAAUACUGCAUAACUAGGAAGUGGGAGAGGUAGACGGUACUCGGUAGGAAGGGGUAAAAUCCUUUGAUCUAUUGAUGACCACCUGUGGCGAAGGCGGUCUACCAGAACACGUUC
rnacentral:rRNA from 1 species